rnacentral:rRNA from 1 species
UUAGCGGCGGACGGGUGAGUAACACGUGGGUAAUCUGCCUUAUACAGGGGGAUAACAGUUAGAAAUGACUGCUAAUACCGCAUAAGCGCACGGGGACGCAUGUUUCUGCGUGAAAAACUCCGGUAGUAUAAGAUGAGCCCGCGUCUGAUUAGCUGGUUGGUGGGGUAACGGCCUACCAAGGCGACGAUCAGUAGCCGGCCUGAGAGGGUGAACGGCCACAUUGGGACUGAGACACGGCCCAAACUCCUACGGAAGGCAGCAG